AGUGAAUAGAUACCCCGGUAGUCCACGCUGUAAACGAUGAACACUCGAUGUUGGCGAUACACAGUCAGCGUCUGAGCGAAAGUAUUAAGUGUUCCACCUGGGGAGUACGGUCGCAAGAUUGAAACUCAAAGGAAUUGACGGGGGCCCGCACAAGCGGAGGAGCAUGUGGUUUAAUUCGAUGAUACGCGAGGAACCUUACCUGGGCUCGAACGUAGGAGGACAGCUGCGGAAACGUGGUCUUCCCUCGGGACUUCCUACGAGGUGCUGCAUGGUUGUCGUCAGCUCGUGCCGUGAGGUGUCGGGUUAAGUCCCAUAACGAGCGCAACCCCUACCUUUAGUUGCCAUCAGGUAAUGCUGGGGACUCUAAAGGAACUGCCUACGCAAGUAGUGAGGAAGGUGGGGAUGACGUCAAAUCAGCACGGCCCUUACGUCCAGGGCUACACACGUCAUACAAUGGUCGGUACAGAGGGUUGCCAAGCCGCGAGGCGGAGCCAAUCCCAGAAAGCCGAUCGUAGUCCGGAUUGCAGG
rnacentral:rRNA from 1 species